GAUGAACGCUGGCGGCGUGCUUAACACAUGCAAGUCGAACGGGAAUUAUUUUAUUGAAACUUCGGUCGAUUUAAUUUAAUUCUAGUGGCGGACGGGUGAGUAACGCGUGGGUAACCUGCCUUAUACAGGGGGAUAACAGUCAGAAAUGGCUGCUAAUACCGCAUAAGCGCACAGAGCUGCAUGGCUCAGUGUGAAAAACUCCGGUGGUAUAAGAUGGACCCGCGUUGGAUUAGCUGGUUGGUGGGGUAACGGCCCACCAAGGCGACGAUCCAUAGCCGGCAUGAGAGGGUGAACGGCCACAUUGGGACUGAGACACGGCCCAGACUCCUACGGGAGGCAGCAGUGGGGAAUAUUGCACAAUGGGGGAAACCCUGAUGCAGCGACGCCGCGUGAAGGAAGAAGUAUCUCGGUAUGUAAACUUCUAUCAGCAGGGAAGAUAGUGACGGUACCUGACUAAGAAGCCCCGGCUAACUACGUG
rnacentral:rRNA from 1 species